UACGAAGGGGGCUAGCGUUGUUCGGAAUCACUGGGCGUAAAGCGCCCGUAGGCGGCUUGUUAAGUCAGGGGUGAAAUCCUGGAGCUCAACUCCAGAACUGCCUUUGAUACUGGCGAGCUUGAGUCCGGGAGAGGUGAGUGGAACUGCGAGUGUAGAGGUGAAAUUCGUAGAUAUUCGCAAGAACACCAGUGGCGAAGGCGGCUCACUGGCCCGGUACUGACGCUGAGGUGCGAAAGCGUGGGGAGCAAACAGG
rnacentral:rRNA from 1 species